UCGUUAAUGGGAAAAAGUCUGUAUCUUUUGCUUCUUUAGAGGCCACAGCUGCACUUAAGACUACUGUAUCUCCAUAACGGACUAAAACGGCUCCGUUUGCUUGUUUUGCUAGCUGACCGACUUCGAUUUGUAAGGGACGGCCGCCCCAUGUCGUUUUGAAUACUUGUUUUUCUGACAUAACUUCUCCUUUUCCUUCUCGUGAAAGCAAGACGCUACUAAACAAAUGAAAACUGCCGAAAGCCGUCUUUUGAG
rfam:Enterococcus faecium DO, complete genome.